AUUGAACGCUGGCGGCAGGCCUAACACAUGCAAGUCGAACGGUAACAGGAAGCAGCUUGCUGCUUUGCUGACGAGUGGCGGACGGGUGAGUAAUGUCUGGGAAACUGCCUGAUGGAGGGGGAUAACUACUGGAAACGGUAGCUAAUACCGCAUAACGUCGCAAGACCAAAGAGGGGGACCUUCGGGCCUCUUGCCAUCGGAUGUGCCCAGAUGGGAUUAGCUAGUAGGUGGGGUAAAGGCUCACCUAGGCGACGAUCCCUAGCUGGUCUGAGAGGAUGACCAGCCACCCUGGAACUGAGACACGGUCCAGACUCCUACGGGAGGCAGCAGUGGGGAAUAUUGCACAAUGGGCGCAAGCCUGAUGCAGCCAUGCCGCGUGUAUGAAGAAGGCCUUCGGGUUGUAAAGUACUUUCAGCGGGGAGGAAGGGAGUAAAGUUAAUACCUUUGCUCAUUGACGUUACCCGCAGAAGAAGCACCGGCUAACUCCGUG
rnacentral:rRNA from 1 species